rnacentral:rRNA from 1 species
GAACGAACGCUGGCGGCAUGCCUAACCCAUGCAAGUCGAACGAGACCUUCGGGUCUAGUGGCGCACGGGUGCGUAACGCGUGGGAACCUGCCCUUAGGUUCGGAAUAACUCCCCGAAAGGGGUGCUAAUACCGGAUAAUGUCUUCGGACCAAAGAUUUAUCGCCUUUGGAUGGGCCCGCGUUGGAUUAGCUAGUUGGUAGGGUAAAAGCCUACCAAGGCGACGAUCCAUAGCUGGUCUGAGAGGAUGAUCAGCCACACUGGGACUGAGACACGGCCCAGACUCCUACGGGAGGCAGCAGUGGGGAAUAUUGGACAAUGGGCGAAAGCCUGACCCAGCAAUGCCGCGUGAGUGAUGAAGGCCUUAGGGUUGUAAAGCUCUUUUACCCGGGAUGAUAAUGACAGUACCGGGAGAAUAAGCUCCGGCUAACUCCGUG